rnacentral:lncRNA from 1 species
CGAGAAACAAUCCCGAAAUAUUGGAAAACCCCGUUGAAAGAAGGAGAUAAGGGAAGGAUAAACCAUACCUCUUCCACAUGACAAAGAAAACUAAACUUGCAUCUUUCUGGAGAUCGAUUGAACCAGAGGGAGAAGAAUCGGAAAGAGGGAUCCUUUUGUCCCGAUAAGGAGCCUGAGGCUGAGAAGGAAGUGUUAUUAAUAUAUAGCCGGAGGCUGAGAUUUUAAUGUGAGAUAGGGCGACGUUAUACUCUAGGCUAGCGGCAUCAGAAUCCUUAAAGGCUAUUCACAAGAAAGGAAAGAAAGCGUACAUGGAAGAUAAAGGCAGGAAAGUGAAGACAGCAGUAUGCACGAAGAGCAGAGGAAAGCUAGAAAUAGAAAAAAGACAGAGAGGAUUUAAAGCUACAAGUGACAAAAAGAUGAAAGGGCGUUAUGGAGCAAGCUGAAUUCAAACAGGCGCGGUCAUAAUGAUUCUUGAUGUUUACCCCCUC